rnacentral:tRNA from 1 species
UAUAUAUAUAGUAUAAUAAAUACAUUUAAUUUCCAAUUAAAAAUUUUAAUAAUUUAAUAUAU